rnacentral:lncRNA from 1 species
AGUGUUUAGCAAAAUUUUGUUUUUGUUUGAGAAGUCUGCAUUGGGUGAUGAACAUGACCGCGACCAUCUUCUUUUGCACAAACGUGAAUGCAGCCAUUUUCCCCAGAACUGUGGAACGAAUUAAGUUCGUGAGCCGAGGUACUGCUGGAGUUUAUAAAGAAAUAUCAGCUCCCAUUUACUGUUUACUCUGAGCGAGGCACUCUACUGUCCUUGUUUCACCCAGCCCUUGUGACAACUGUGGGAGAGGGUCCGCUGGGAGCUUUACAGGCGAGAGAGCAAGGCUGGGAACUCACUGCCAUCUGCUCAUCCACAUGGCCAGAAGUACUGGAGGCAGACCGUGAAUCCAGUUGGUUUCCAGAGCCCAAGUUUUCAACUACUCUGCUGAGAAGUUUAGAUAAAACUAAGUUGGAAGAAUGGAAGAACUGAAGAGCAAGAGAAAGAACUUUCGCUCAGGGCUGGGCAAUUCAGUACCUCAGACGGGGGUGACACCCUUGGGAGAAUCUUACACUGGUUCUUGAAGGCAAGUAACCCCAAAUCUCUUAGCAUGAUCUCAACUUUGUCCUCAGGAGUCAUGAAGGGCCUAUUGCCUUUGGUAAUAGGGACACUUUUAAUCCAAUUGUAU